GAUGAACGCUGGCGGCGGGCCUAACACAUGCAAGUCGAGCGAAAAGACGAGGAGCGUGUUCUCCUGACGUUGGCGGCGGACGGGUGAGUAACGCGUACAUAACCUACCUAUAAGUCUGGGAGAACUACGGGAAGCCGGAUCUAAUACCGGCUAAUAUGUUCAACCGCAUAGAGCAAUAGUGAUAGACGGUUUUGCCGUCACUUAUAGAUGGUGCCGUGCCGCAUUAGCUAGUUGGUAAGGUAACGGCUUACCAAGGCUACGAUGCGUAGCCGACCUGAGAGGAUGAUCGGCCACACUGGAACUGAGACACGGUCCAGACUCCUACGGGAGGCAGCAGUAGGGAAUCUUCCGCAAUGGGCGCAAGCCUGACCGAGCCAUGCCGCGUGGGUGAUGAAGGUCUUCGGAUUGUAAAACUCUUUUAUUAGGGAAGAAAAAAUGUGUAAGAAUGUCUGCACGUCCUGACGGUACCUAAUGAGAAAGCCCCGGCUAACUUCGUG
rnacentral:rRNA from 1 species